rnacentral:rRNA from 1 species
UACGUGAGGGGCGAACGUUGUUCGGUGUCACUGGGCUUAAAGGGUGCGUAGGUGGUUGCGUAAGUAAGGUGUGAAAUCCCUCGGCUUACCCGGGGAAUUGUAUUUUAUACUGCGUGGCUUGAGGACUAAAGGGGAAAAGGGAACUCCAGGUGUAGCGGUGAAAUGCGCAGAUAUCUGGGGGAAGGCCGGCGGCGAAGGCGCUUUUCUGGUUAGUACCUGACACUGAGGCACGAAAGCGUGGGGAGCAAACAGG